AAAAGGGUAAACUGAUGCUAAAAGCUACCUCAAGAAGAUGCCUGGAGCAGGGUUCAAGAUCAAUCUAGCUUUUAGUCUCAGCCAUAAACCAUCUGAGCUUUGGGUAAGUCACUUGACCACCAGGCCGGUUUCCUCAUUAUGACAGAAUGGAAUUCUGAAUUCCCUUUCUGUUGUAAUAGUCUGAUUGCACAAUUUUCCAUUAGAGAAGUUUCAUACCUGUUAGAUCUCCUGCUGCCAGGAACUAACCUCCUGGGAGACAGGUCUUAUCGUCAUCCAGGCAUAUAGGAGGGUGUUGGGAAAACACUUGUAGUGGAUGCUGGAUUGUGCCAUUCAGAGCCAGCUCCCUUUGCUAUUGAAGAACUUAUUUCCCUACAUGUCAGGACUUCUGCUGGCUGAUGGCCCCCAGCUGUGAGCUCUUUCAGGCAUCACCUUUGGCUGCAAAAGGCUCCCUCUCCUGAAGUUACUACCUGCAUCCCUGGAGGCAGACUUCAUCUCAUGUCUUCAUCCAAAGUUUGAACAAAUUGGCUAAGAAGGUGCUAGACAUGUAAAGGGACUAUUUUUUUUCUUAAUUCAAAUGUAGGAGGAGUAUGGAUCUCCAGGAACCAGAAGAGCUGCAUACAUAUGCCCAACAAUUCAGCGACAGCACCAUCAGCCCAGAUGGGGGUUGUGAGCAAAGUCCGAGAUGGUCAGAAGGAAACGAGAACCUGGGAGGUGGCGAGUGUCCACUGCUCUAGUCUCAGGACAGCCUGCUCUGUUAAAGCACCUGGUCCUUCUUCCUGAAGACUUCAGUCCCACCUUGCAUUAUGUUUUGUUCUGUGUAUGUGCGUGUCUAUCUCUCCUGCUAACUGCUGAGCUUGCUAAGGAAAGGAACCUUGUUUUAUGAAAUAAAUGAUAUUUAUGAG
rnacentral:lncRNA from 1 species